rnacentral:siRNA from 1 species
UGAUCUGAUUUCCACUACCAC